UACUCCCGCCGGCGACCGGCGCACGGGGUGAGUAACACGUAUGAAACCUGCCCGUAGCAGGGGGAUAAGCGGAAGAAAUUCCGUCUAAUACCGCGUAACAACCCGAGGAGGCAUCUCCUCGGGUUUAAAGGAAGCGAUUCCGGCUACGGAUGGUCAUGCGUCGCAUUAGCUAGUUGGCGGGGUAACGGCCCACCAAGGCGACGAUGCGUAGGGGUUCUGAGAGGAAGGUCCCCCACACUGGUACUGAGACACGGACCAGACUCCUACGGAAGGCAGCAG
rnacentral:rRNA from 1 species